rnacentral:rRNA from 1 species
CCUACGGGUGGCAGCAGUGAGGAAUAUUGGUCAAUGGACGAGAGUCUGAACCAGCCAAGUAGUGUGAAGGAUGACUGCCCUAUGGGUUGUAAACUUCUUUUAUAUGGGAAUAAAACGUUCCACGUGUGGGAUUUUGUAUGUACCAUAUGAAUAAGGAUCGGCUAACUCCGUGCCAGCAGCCGCGGUAAUACGGAGGAUCCGAGCGUUAUCCGGAUUUAUUGGGUUUAAAGGGAGCGUAGGUGGAUUGUUAAGUCAGUUGUGAAAGUUUGCGGCUCAACCGUAAAAUUGCAGUUGAAACUGGCAGUCUUGAGUACAGUAGAGGUGGGCGGAAUUCGUGGUGUAGCGGUGAAAUGCUUAGAUAUCACGAAGAACUCCGAUUGCGAAGGCAGUUCACUGGACUGCAACUGACACUGAGGCUCGAAAGUAUGGGUAUCAAACAGGAUUAGAUACCCCAGUAGUC